GAUGUAUGGCCUAUAAAUAAGAUAAGGGUGGAGAAGCUUAGAACCAAGAAGUCUCAAAAUGAAGGCCAUUCUCAUUGUCUGCCUUCUCUUGGCUUCCAUAUUUUUCAUUCCUUCUUCAAAUGCAGCAUCAGAAAAGUGUAAUCCAUAUAUUCGUGGAUCUUGUCGAUCGAAGCCGCCAGCUCAACCCUUGAAGCCAGUUGCUCCACCGUUGAAGCCGCCAACUCCACCAAGGAAGCUAACUUCAGCAGCUGAAUGUAGUCGUAACCCAAAUAAAAGUUGCACACCUCCAACGCCACGUAAUCCCUAUAAGAGGCGAAGUCCGCCAUUCAAUAGGCCUUAAGAAAUGAAGCACCAUGGUUCAGUAACAAUUAAGCAUUAGGUUGCUUAUUAUCGUGGAGAGAAGUAGUAAUUAAGAAUAAAGUGGGUUUUAUGUGAUAUAUGGUUUGGGCUUUAUGAUGCCUCCUAUAAUUGGUUCCUAGUUAUGUAUUAUGCUCUCCAUAAUAAUAGUAUAUUGUAACGUGUGCAAAAUAAAAGAGUGGACUAAUCUGUUGGCUUA